rnacentral:lncRNA from 1 species
UUGCAAAACCUAAAUUAAAUGAAUACUAAGUUUUUGGAAUGUUUAUGCUCUGGAAGUGAGAAACAAAAGAUAUCUGUUGUGUAGAAACAAAAAGAGAAACAAAGAAAAAAGUGAUUUUCCUCUGGGGCCUGGCAGUAGGGUUUCUGAUCAUUCCUCCUCAGAUUGAUGAGCCUCCAUUCAUUUUGAAAUGAGGCAUUUGAACCUUUCACCUGUUUUACAGUAUGUGUAUGACUGUGUAAAUGAAAUUUAAACUUCUUGCAAAGUUGGGGUAACUUUUCCCUACAUCCUUUUCUUUUGACAUGUUCUGAUUCUUAUUUUCUCCUGAAUGUCUCCCUCAUCCUGUAUUUUAUAGAACUACUUCCCUAGUAAGCAAGACAUCUUGCUGGCCAGGAAGGCCACCAAGGGGAUUGUGGAACAUUACUUCAUUAUUUUUAAAAAAUCCCUUUUAAGAUGGUGGUGUGAGUAGCCGCUGGUCUCAGUGCCUAAAUUAGUUCCAGUGCUUUGAUGGGAACAUGUCAAUCCUGUUCAUGGUGUCCUCUUGUGAAAACAAACAGGCACACGUGGCGGACAGGCACAGCAACUAGUGAAGGGAGUCAUUGAACAUCUUUGAGACCAUCCUCAACAAGUUCUUCUUCAAUGUCUCCAUAAUUUUUUUCCUCAAGAAGAUGGACCUCCUAGUAGAGAAUGUGAAGAUGGGCAGCCUCAGGAAACACUUCCUGAAUUUCAAUGGUGACCCUCCUCAACUGGAGGACAUCCAGCUAUGCCUGGUCCAAUGUUUUGACAGAAGGAGGUGAAACCACAGCAAGCUGCUGAUCCCCAUUUCACUUCCGCCAUAGACACCGAGAACAUCCACUUCAUGUUCCAUGCUGUGAAGAACUCGAUCCUGCAGGAGAACCUAAGGGACGUAAUGAUACUUUGAGAGAGGAAGCCCCCUCAUGCCUUUUUGAGGCUGCCUGCAUGGCUAUUAGUGCUUGUGGCCUGUGUGGUUCUGCAGGGCUUCUUGGACACAUCUGUAUUACACCUGGGUCAAGAAAGCUGGACUCCAGCCCAGCCAUGAGCUCUAGGCAAGAGGACAUGGGAACUCCAUGUGAGCUUCUGAUUCUGGGGACUGGUGAAAUACUGAAAUCCCCGUGCUCACCACUUUGGUGUUAAUCUGCAGUACCAACAAAACAGCCUCUUUUUUUUUUUUUUUACAGAAACUCUAUUCCUUUCCAGGCACAGUUUAAUCAAGAAUUGUGUGCUCAGCCACCUUCCCUC